CUUGGCUCUUGUGCACUACCACAGCUUCUUUCUGUUCUUGGAAUAAUUUGCUUAACCUUCAUCCAUGACUAGCAUCAAUGAAGUCUGCAUACCUAACCUUAUAAAAACAGGUAUAUGUUCUUAUUUGAAAAGGGCUUUGAUUUAAGUGGGCAAAAUGAGUUUAUGAAUAACUAAUGCUAUGUUAAGUCCCCGUCGGUUUUAUCUGUUUAUUUGUGCUGAAGCGGAACAUAAAAUAUUCAUGACAAGCCUUCUCAAAUAUAUAUUAUGCAGUCAUAGUAUUAAAUAUGUUUUAUGCUUACUUGAUGCUCCUAGCUUUUACCAAAUUCAAGUCCCACUCUUCAAGGUUUGAGGAAUCUGUUCCACACCGGGUGUCAUUAAGGAGCAGUGAACAGUCGAUAUGCUUCAACUGGAGGCGCUUGUACGUUCCUGUGCUGCACUAGCUCAAUGAAAGGUUAAAACGCUGUUUGAUCCGAUGACACAGCUAACCUUGAACAUAGUUGAAGACACUAUAAAAUGGCCCAUCAUUACUUGGUGGCAAAAAGCUUUGAAGCUUUCCACUGUUUAGUUAGAUUCAUGCUUGUUAAAGUCUAAAUUAAAGCAACAGUUUUUUUCCUUAGUGUAAUCGUUCCUUCGCUUUACACUCAUUAAAGAAUUCAUCCGUAAUGUUCGUUCAGCUGGAAGUGAUGCAGUAAAAAAAGAAAGAAAAAAAGAGAAAAAAAAGAGAGAAAGAAAAAUAAAAAUCACAGUACUCCUGUGUAAAACUACUUCCCAGAUUUAUCUCAAUUUAAUGAGGCUCCGGGUUUCUGAAUUAAUCAGAUCAAGUGGAUUUCCACCAACUUUAUGACCACUUUAAAACAAAAUUCCCCUUUUCCCCAAACAGUGUUUAUGUGCUGAGCUGCAGAACGAGUGCAGGAACAAAAGGAGGAAAUUUUGUCUCGAAAACACAGGAACUUAAAAAACAAACAAACAAAAAAAAAAGUGUUAACUUUACCACCUCAGGCAGCUGAAACCUCAUUAGCUGUAGAUAAACCUACGAAUGUAUUCUGACAAAGACUGAGGACUGACGAUUUUGUCUUGCAUCAUUUCCAUAAAAGCAAGUUAAGAAAUAGUUACAGCAAGUAAAAACAGAUUAUUAUGUUUGUAUGGAUUUCAUGGCCAUUGCAUUAAGAAAGCCAUUAUAAAAUAAGAUAUUUUCAUGUAUUUCUUGUGAACCACUUUCAUAUAAUGUAACUUGGAAAACCUCAAAACUUAAGAGCAUAAGUUCAUGAAGUCUAUCAGAGGUGGAGCCGGACAUUUUAUACACCCGGGGCUUAGCCCUAAAGGGUAGUAUAUAUAUAUAUAUAUGCAUGUGGGAUUUGGGGGAGGGUUAACAAACCUAAAAGGAUACAAUAGUUACUAGAUACAUGCUCUGAUGAGUUUUGGCAAACAACCAUUUGACUAACAUGUCUGUCUCACCUGGCUCUUGUUCCAUCUCUGUUCUGUCCUCAUUCUCCUCUCCAUUGCCCUCUGUUCCUCUCUCUCCCUCUUCGUGCUACAAAUCAAGCCAAACACCAACAUCAUCAAAUAUACAGUUGAAACCAGGUAUUUACAUACUCUUCAGAUAAAAACACACACUUUUUUAAUUGUAAAACAUCAAAUCAGAUUAAAUGCGUUUUUUUUAGAUUUAUAAAUAUAAAAAACAUAUUUGUUAAAUUUAAGAGUAAAGAGAGAAAUUCUAUGUAUUCCUUAAUUGCAAAUGGCACCCAAAUUUUUUCAAAAUUGAUCCACACUUAUGGAGGUCCACAAUUCUUUUCCUGGUGUCUUGGUUGAUAUCUCUUGAUUUUCCCAUGUCAAAGAAACAGGCUCUGUGUUUUGGGGGUGCCUUAUAUCAGCUGUCCCCAAUCCCCGGACCACGGACCGGUACUGGAUGCGUGAGUCGUUUGGUACUGGGCCGCAAGAUUUGGGGCUCGGGUGUGAAAUCUAUGGUUUUCAUCGGGUUUUUUUUCGUUCUUUUUUUUUUUUUUAUCGUUUUCCCUGGGUCUUUCCCCCUGUGUUAUGAAUAAAUCUUUUUUUGGGUACCGGUAUUGGUUUUAUUUUGUUGUAUUUACAUAAGGCUUAUAUGCAUCCAAAGGUGUGCCACCAAUUUACUCAAAUGGACUCUACUAACCUAUCAGAAGCUUCUUAAGCUCAGAAUGGAAUCGCCUGGAGUUCUCUUAUUAAUUAAAGACAGAAUGAACUUAGUGUAUAUAUACUCCUAAAUUUGAUCAAAGUGAUAAUAAAUAGACAGCUCUCGCUCUCUUUAUUCUCACAUUUAACUAAUUCAAAAGAAUUUCAAUAUUUAUCUAAAACAAAAAAGUUUACUCUAAAUUGAUGUUUAACAGUAAAAAAUUGUUUUGUUUUCUCCCUAAAGUGUCUGUAAAUAUCUGGUUUCAACUGUGAACAUACUGCUGUGUAAUGAAAUUCCUCUUGUUUUGCAUAGAAAUAUAUUGAACAACAUACAAAGC
ensembl:lncRNA